rnacentral:rRNA from 1 species
UACGAGGGGGGCUAGCGUUGUUCGGAUUUACUGGGCGUAAAGCGCACGUAGGCGGAUCGUUAAGUCGGGGGUGAAAUCCUGGAGCUCAACUCCAGAACUACCUUCGAUACUGGCGAUCUCGAGUCCGGAAGAGGUGAGUGGAACUCCUAGUGUAGAGGUGGAAUUCGUAGAUAUUAGGAAGAACACCAGUGGCGAAGGCGGCUCACUGGUCCGGUACUGACGCUGAGGUGCGAAAGCGUGGGGAGCAAACAGG